rnacentral:rRNA from 1 species
UACGGAGGGUGCAAGCGUUGCUCGGAAUUACUGGGCGUAAAGCGCGUGUAGGCGGUCUCGUGUGUCUGGCGUGAAAGCCCCGGGCUGACCCCGGGAAGUGCGUUGGAAACUGCGAGACUAGAGUUCCGGAGAGGAAGGUGGAAUUCCAGGUGUAGCGGUGAAAUGCGUAGAUAUCUGGAAGAACACCGGUGGCGAAGGCGGCCUUCUGGACGGUGACUGACGCUGAGACGCGAAAGCGUGGGGAGCAAACAGG